UACGUAGGUGGCAAGCGUUGUCCGGAAUUAUUGGGCGUAAAGCGCGCGCAGGCGGUUUCUUAAGCCUGAUGUGAAAUCUUGCGGCUCAACCGCAAGCGGCCAUUGGAAACUGGGAAACUUGAGUGCAGAAGAGGAGAGUGGAAUUCCACGUGUAGCGGUGAAAUGCGUAGAGAUGUGGAGGAACACCAGUGGCGAAGGCGACUCUCUGGUCUGUAACUGACGCUGAGGCGCGAAAGCGUGGGGAGCGAACAGG
rnacentral:rRNA from 1 species